AUUUGCAAAUGUGUUUCAUUUGCUCCUAGGGCUAUCAAAUUUUGUUCCAACAGAAAAUGAAGAGUCAUAUUAAUUCUAUUAAUGAGCUUUCUGAAGUAGUAUUUUUAUUUUUGGAAGGCUUUAAAUGAAAUCCAUCCAAGCUUGAGUGAUUCAUCAAACAGAGCAUUACAAAGCAUUAUCAAUGACACUCUUGCUAGACAAAUCGGGGGGUGUUCAUUCAUUGAAGCAGGAAAACAACAAAAAUAUAAAAGGUGACUUUCUAUGAUGUAGAUGAAAUACUAUAAGCGAAAUUAUACAUGUUUGUUAUUGUGUUUCACUGUUGCUAUUGCAAGUAAUACAAGUGGAUCAUCUCAUUUGAUACAUUAAUUGACCGCACAUCAUAUUAUCACUUUUAAAGUUUAUCGACAUUGUUUUAUAUAUUUGUCUUUCAACCCUGCAUUUUAUGCUCACUCAUAAAACAUUGAACCUCAUUUCACAUUUGUCUCUCUUUCAUCCCGACAGUUACUUCGUACACCCUCAUCUUUUUAACAGCGGCUAUGACGUCGUGUUCUCCGACUAUCUCUACCACCACUAAAAUCCAAAUCAAACAAAUCACUAAGAGAAGUUUCACCACCACCAUGCUCACAAAUGGAUGGCGUAGAAUUUUGUCAAAAGACUGGCUAACCGUAGCAUUCCAUGCAAGUGCAUUUGCAAGUCCUUUAAAUCAUGUGUAUCCUUAGCUAUUUUCUAUCUUUUCUUGGUCAUUGUUUUCUUGCCCUUCUAGAUUCUUUCUCCCCACUUUUUUAAUGUGCUAAAUGCAAAUUGCCUAAUCUUUCUAUUGAAGUGGCAAGGAUGAUUGACUAUGUAAUUAGAAAGGUUGAGGUCUGCACAUUAUUUUUGUUUAUUUAUAAAUGCAGAAACAUGAUAUAUGUGAUGAGCAAUAUACUGAGUUCGUUUUUGUUUAUUUUGUGUGCCUUCAAAUCUAUGAAACAUAACUUUGUUGAAAAAAAAUCAUAUGUAGUCUUAUCUAAGUGUCUGUGAUCACAUGUUUUUUGUUGGUUUUGUUGGCUAUUGGCUUUGCAUGUGCACUUUGAGCUGGACAUUUUGGGACAACCAUGAAUUAAUACAACUCACAAUAUUUGUUUGUCUCUUAACCGGCUAUUUAGGUAUUGUGUUCACCGGGAAAGUUUUUUGCUGACGUUAGGACCUCAAAAGAAUAGUUUGUUACGACAUCUCUUUAUAAAAUGCACAUCUUUUUUGAAAUACUAGAGACAUACUAUUUUUCUGAUUGUGUUUUGUUUUAGUUAGUUAGUUAGUUGGUCUACCAAUUGUGUUGUUUUCUCAUAGUUUUUUAUAUUGUUUUUAGUUCUAAUAGUACUAUUUAUGAUUUUGUUUUUUUUGAAGUACCAUUUAUGAUUGAUGACAAUUGACAUAGUAAAUGUAUACCAAUUAAAAUCAAAAAAGAAUGCAUGUCUUGGUUUCGUAGCAAGUUUUUGUAGCAUUUCACUACAUCUUACAUGCUUAGGAAUAUUACAUGAAGAACAAUGAGGAUAAAGAUGAUGGACUUCUAUGAAUGGAUAAGAUGGUGGAAAAUAGAGUUUGAUAGGCCAAUGGCAACUUUGAGUUGCUGAUCCUGUUCUCUCCCUCUCUCACUCUCUACAUUUUUGCUAAUUUCUUAUCCUCACAUCUAGCUUUGUUAUAUGAAAGUCCUCUUCUCCUCCCUUUAUAUAUACAUUAUCAAAUUGCAUUACUUUUUUUACAUUGGAUUGCUUUGUUGUUUGUUACAGUUGAACCCAAAAAUCAAUUGCAAUGUUUGAAUGUUUGAAUUAUUUUGUAAAAUUAAAGUCUUAGCAGUUAAAAGUUACAGGACUAGGACUCAAAAUAGAAGAUGUCUUCUUGAAGUAGUUUUGGAUUGAAGGCAAAAGAUCACAACUUUUACCUGUAAAAUUAUGCAGCAAAGGAGUUGGUCAGAAUGUUGCUUUACUAUUUAAAGGAAUUUUUCAAGUUUGCUGCCGCUUUUUUAAAUUGUCAUGGAGCUGAUUCAGUUGUAGAAAUUAGCUCAUUAUGGGCUUAUGGCAAGGGCUGAAAGGCAUGUUCUAGGAGUAGUGAAGCUUUGCCUCAAAUAUCAUUUAUGGAUUGGUAAUGGUUUGUUAAGGCUAUGUUGAAUUGAAUGAUGGAUAACACUUGAUUAUGAAAGGAUGGUCUCUUGAUGAGGCAUCGAAAGAUAUGCAGAAUCCUCCUCCUACUGCAUAAUCUUUUAUAUAAAUAGUGUUGCAUGUUUUAUGAAACAAUUAGUGUUAUUACUGAUAAUUUAUGGUAGACAAGUAUCACAAUGACUUUUAUCAAUUUCACUUUAUUAUGAUAGACAAAUAUUACAAUGGCUUUUAUCAAUUUCACUUUAAUUUGUUUGUCACAAUUUGACA
rnacentral:lncRNA from 1 species